rnacentral:misc_RNA from 1 species
UGGCAUACUCUCCCAAAAAAAAAAGAGCAGACCCCAUUGAAGACGAGAGUGAGGUACAACAAGGCCAUUUCUGUCCACCGCCCUUCUCACGGAACCGUACGUGGACGUUACCGCUCAUACAGCUCCCAGCCAGCAAGCAGUUAGCCUUCCUCUACAAAGAAUGGAAGUGUGGAUGAAUCGACAUCAAAUAGAGGAAUUUGGGUUUUCUUUUCAGCAAUAACAUGCUAAGAGCAUCCCUUUCACAAAAACCUAAAGAUCCCCUCCUAUCCUGCCACUUCAGCACCUUUUGAUCUUUGAGAAGAUCAUUACGAGCCCUCUCCUAGAAUGUUUUUGUAGAUUCCGAAAAUUCCAUGGUGGAUCAGGACGAGAAUGAAUCCGGGAAUCCAGGACAUACUCAUCCUGGAGCUUCUGCUCUCCUCUGGGGAGGGAUUUUUAUAGAUAGAGAGGUGAGUCGAGGGUAGCCUCCCGCUUGACCGAUUUCUCGGAGUCGGAGGAAGAUCUCUCAUCUGAUGACCCUGAACAAGAAGGAGCUGCUCUCGAUGUGAGAUCAGCAGCAAAAGAAAGAAGAGGAAAGGGAUGCCCCAGAGCCCGGAUAAGCCUUAAAAAAAAAACACACACAACGGACCGGACACAAACAAAAGAAAGAAGAAAAGGGCCAUGAUGCUGAUCCUAUGUUCGUUUUCGCCCUGCCCCGAUGAUGCGCUCCUAGCUCGCGGAGUUACAUACCAGAAAAAGAAUCUCUCUAUUACUUUGAGAAGAGAAUCGUUGGUUUGACCGACGGACUACGUGGGAAAUACGAGAUCUAGGAAAGCCGCUACAUCUUCUCCCCUUGCCCUUGAACGAUAGAAGAACUACUUAUCUUCUCUUAGAUAGCAGUCGAUCGGUUCGCAUCUAUGGUCAAUCAAUAGGUCCGCGGAUCUAUUCUUCUAUACGAUAAAUCGCCAUCUCGUAGCACCAUCACGACACCGAUUCUCGUUAUUUUUCCGAGCCCCCCAUGCCGUGACUUCGACUUUGAGUAUGAUGAAUGAGUGGAAAGAUCUUUUUAGAAGUCCCUGUCCGAUCCAACCAAAGAGUUAGUAUAUAAAAAAUAUAUCUCUUUUUUAGAUAAAGGGGAGAACUGCGAGUUUUUUCAGAAAAGACUUGCUGCUCCCCUAUCCGAAUCCCGCGAGUGACUAAGCGCGAGACGAGCCAUAACAUAAGGGGCGAAUCUACUCUUCGUAGAAUCGACCAUAGAUAUCUUCUUUUUUCGAAUCUACUCUUCGUAGA